rnacentral:rRNA from 1 species
UAAGGAAUAUUGGUCAAUGGACGCAAGUCUGAACCAGCCAUGCCGCGUGGAGGAUGAAGGUCCUCUGGAUUGUAAACUUCUUUUAUCUGGGAAGAAACCCAUAUUUUCUAGUGUGGUUGACGGUACCAGAUGAAUAAGCACCGGCUAACUCCGUGCCAGCAGCCGCGGUAAUACGGAGGGUGCAAGCGUUAUCCGGAUUCACUGGGUUUAAAGGGUGCGUAGGCGGGUUGGUAAGUCCGUGGUGAAAUCUCCGAGCUUAACUCGGAAACUGCCGUGGAUACUAUCAAUCUUGAAUAUCGUGGAGGUAAGCGGAAUAUGUCAUGUAGCGGUGAAAUGCUUAGAUAUGACAUAGAACACCAAUUGCGUAGGCAGCUUACUACACGAUCAUUGACGCUGAGGCACGAAAGCGUGGGGAGCAAACAG